rnacentral:lncRNA from 1 species
GUUUCUUCGGACAAAGGCAGCAGUAAGCUAAAAACAAAAUCAACUGGCUGAAUUUUCCUUCUUUACCUGAAAAACAAAGUACAGAACAAGCUGUAACAGCUCCUCAGAUGCCUCAUUUGGCUUAAUGCUGAUAGCUUUUGAUAUUCACAUGGCAUUCAACUUAUGAUCCGGAUGAAGAAGCAAAGGUAGAAAACAGGGGAAGGAAAACAGAAAUGUUCCAAUAUAUCCUGGAAAAAAGAAAAAGGAAACAAACACCCCCUUGUGAAUAUACCAAAAAAGGCCCUGAAGAAUAUACCUUGUUAUUGAUGAAGGUUUUGAGAGUUUGUCAAAACUUUUGAGAGAAGAUUUAUUCGUGCUUACAUCUUUAUGAAAAUAAACAAUAUAUAUUUAAAUUA